rnacentral:rRNA from 1 species
AUUGAACGCUGGCGGCAUGCCUUACACAUGCAAGUCGAACGGCAGCACGGGUGCUUGCACCUGGUGGCGAGUGGCGAACGGGUGAGUAUUACAUCGGAACAUGUCCUUUAGUGGGGGAUAGCCCGGCGAAAGCCGGAUUAAUACCGCAUACGAUCUACGGAUGAAAGCGGGGGACCUUCGGGCCUCGCGCUAUAGGGUUGGCCGAUGGCUGAUUAGCUAGUUGGUGGGGUAAAGGCCUACCAAGGCGACGAUCAGCAGCUGGUCUGAGAGGACGACCAGCCACACUGGGACUGAGACACGGCCCAGACUCCUACGGGAGGCAGCAGUGGGGAAUUUUGGACAAUGGGCGAAAGCCUGAUCCAGCAAUGCCGCGUGUGUGAAGAAGGCCUUCGGGUUGUAAAGCACUUUUGUCCGGAAAGAAAUCCUUGGCCCUAAUACGGUCGGGGGAUGACGGUACCGGAAGAAUAAGCACCGGCUAACUACGUG